GUAGACGUACCACAGUUUUUAACCCACUCAUCUGCUGGUGGGCACGUAGGCUGAUUCCGGAUUUGUCUUUUUUAGGAAAUCGAAGUUGGUGGCGGUCGGAAAGCUAUUAUCAUCUUCGUCCCAGUUCCUCAACUCAAGUCUUUCCAGAAAAUCCAGGUCCGGCUGGUACGCGAGCUGGAGAAGAAGUUCAGUGGGAAGCACGUGGUCUUCAUCGCUCAGAGGAGGAUUCUGCUCAU